rnacentral:rRNA from 1 species
GACGAACGCUGGCGGCGUGCCUAAUACAUGCAAGUCGAGCGGACCAAAGGGAGCUUGCUCCUGGAGGUUAGCGGCGAACGGGUGAGUAACACGUGGGCAACCUGCCUGUAAGACUGGGAUAACAUCGAGAAAUCGGUGCUAAUACCGGAUAAUAAAAAGAACUGCAUGGUUCUUUUUUGAAAGAUGGUUUCGGCUAUCACUUACAGAUGGGCCGCGGCGCAUUAGCUAGUUGGUGAGGUAACGGCUCACCAAGGCAACGAUGCGUAGCCGACCUGAGAGGGUGAUCGGCCACACUGGGACUGAGACACGGCCCAGACUCCUACGGGAGGCAGCAGUAGGGAAUCUUCCGCAAUGGACGAAAGUCUGACGGAGCAACGCCGCGUGAGUGAUGAAGGUUUUCGGAUCGUAAAACUCUGUUGUUAGGGAAGAACAAGUGCCGUUCGAAAGGGCGGCACCUUGACGGUACCUAACGAGAAAGCCACGGCUAACUACGUG